CAGUCGCCGCGGUAAUACAGAGGCCUCAAGCGUUGUUCGGAUUCAUUGGGCGUAAAGGGUGCGUAGGCGGUCGGGUAAGUCGGAUGUGAAAUCCUGGGGCUCAACCUCAGAACUGCAUUCGAUACUGCUUGGCUAGAGGACUGGAGAGGAGAUCGGAAUUCACGGUGUAGCAGUGAAAUGCGUAGAUAUCGUGAGGAAGACCAGUGGCGAAGGCGGAUCUCUGGACAGUUCCUGACGCUGAUGCACGAAGGCCAGGGGAGCAAACGGGAUUAGAUACCCCCGUAGUCCCUGUCUCUUAUAC
rnacentral:rRNA from 1 species